AUUGAACGCUAGCGGGAUGCCUUACACAUGCAAGUCGAACGGAGUGGCGAACGGGUGAGUACUGUAUCGGAACGUACCCAGUAGCGGGGGAUAACUACGCGAAAGCGUAGCCAAUACCGCAUACUAUUGGAGCGGCCGAUACCGGAUUAGCUAGUUGGUGGGGUAACGGCUCACCACGGCGACGAUCCGUAGCGGGUUUGGGAGGACGACCAGCUCACCUGCGACUGAGACAGGGCCCAGACUCCAACGAGAGGCAGCAGUGGGGAAUUUUGGACAAUGGGGGAAACGCUUGUCCGGCAUACCCGCGUGUGCGAUGAAGCCCAUCGGGUUGUAAAGCAUUGUUGGCAGGAAAGCGGUACCUGCAGAAUAAGCACCGGCUAACUACGAGCCAGCAGCCGAGGUAAUUC
rnacentral:rRNA from 1 species